rnacentral:lncRNA from 1 species
UUGGUCUUAGGUUGCAGCUAUGCGCAUGCGGCAUUGUACGCAUCAUAUCCUUCUUUGUCGUGCAGUAGCAGAAUUAAUCCCGGAUAGGAACCCGGUUCCAGCGCUGACAGUGGCUUGAGCAUGCGUAGGACAUGCAUGAUUACAAAAUGAUAUUGACUACAACCCUGCAAAAUAGUAGCAACCUGAAGUUGUUCUUCAUGGAUAUACAGCCCUAAGUUAAGUCUACAGAGGAUAAAUGAAAUUGGUGACUAAAAUAGACGCAAGCCUCAAGCACUGACUCACAGUGCACGACGCACUCAGUGGCUGGGCUAGUAGUUCUAUAGCAGGGCUCAUUGUAAGACUCGCGGUCGGACCCGCGACCCCGGCGGUGCGGGAUCCCGCACCAAAAAGCUUCUAUAAAGCAACAUAAUCAGAACAACUUUCAGGGAUCUUCCCAACUUCAGAUCCUGCCCAAAUCUGGGUGUAAUACAACUUGGACGCUUUCCAUGAUGCUGCCGCUGUUGUACAUAGGCGCCACCCCUGCUGCAUUUGACAUGACAUGUCUGAAAAUAAAAUUACUUGAUCAUAACGGUUGUAUUGCACAUUACUCAACAUGAAAUCGAUUAAACUGGAUAUUGGUCCUUUGCGUAAUGAUAUGCAAAUAUGGACAACAUGUGGACAUAUGGACAGCAUGAUGCAAUUAUUGUCUCCUUGCUCAUGAGUGAUCACUGUAUUAUUAUUAAUAUUAUUAAUGUUGUUGUUGUUGUUGUUGUUGUUGUUGUUGUUGUUGUUGUUGUUGUUGUUGUUGUUGUUGUUGUUGUUACGCUUUUCCUGCCAACAGGCAAGGUGCGUUCUGCAAACAAGCUGCAGUCAAAGGCUCCCACAAUCCUACCUUUUGUUGGACUCGCCGAAUCCACUGGAUUCUUGGAUGCUUGGCAAGCAAGACCCAAUCAACCGUGGGCACGGUGUUCAGUAUUUGUACCGCCCCCCGCCAGCCGGGAGCACUGUAUACAACUACAUA